rnacentral:rRNA from 1 species
AGAGUUUGAUCCUGGCUCAGGACGAACGCUGGCGGCGUGCUUAACACAUGCAGGUCGAGCGAUGAAGUUCCCUUCGGGGAACGGAUUAGCGGCGGACGGGUGAGUAACACGUGGGUAACCUGCCUCAAAGAGGGGGAUAGCCUCCCGAAAGGGAGAUUAAUACCGCAUAAUAUCUUUUUAAUGCAUGUUAGAAAGAUUAAAGGAGCAAUCCGCUUUGAGAUGGACCCGCGGCGCAUUAGCUAGUUGGUGAGGUAACGGCUCACCAAGGCGACGAUGCGUAGCCGACCUGAGAGGGUGAUCGGCCACAUUGGGACUGAGACACGGCCCAGACUCCUACGGGAGGCAGUAGUGGGGAAUAUUGCGCAAUGGGGGAAACCCUGACGCAGCAACGCCGCGUGAGUGAUGAAGGUCUUCGGAUCGUAAAGCUCUGUCUUCAGGGACGAUAAUGACGGUACCUGAGGAGGAAGCCACGGCUAACUACGUGCCAGCAGCCGCGGUAAUACGUAGGUGGCAAGCGUUGUCCGGAUUUAUUGGGCGUAAAGCAUGCGUAGGCGGAUAUUUAAGUGGGAUGUGAAAUCCCGGGGCUUAACCCCGGUGCUGCAUUUCAAACUGGAUAUCUAGAGUGCAGGAGAGGAAAGCGGAAUUCCUAGUGUAGCGGUGAAAUGCGUAGAUAUUAGGAAGAACACCAGUGGCGAAGGCGGCUUUCUGGACUGUAACUGACGCUGAGGCAUGAAAGCGUGGGUAGCAAACAGGAAUAGAUACCCUGGGUAGUCG